rnacentral:rRNA from 1 species
CUCCUUCGGGAGGCCGCCGUAGGGGAUUCUUCCCCAAGGCAGCAAGUCGGAAUCCGCCACACCGCCGCAAAGCAGAAGGCCUCCGGGUCGUAAAACUCAUAUAUCCGGAAGAACAAAAACCUCUUAAUAAGCGACACCUGACGUCCGACAAAGCAGUCAUAA